UACGUAGGGACCGAGCGUUGUCCGGAAUCAUUGGGCGUAAAGAGCGUGUAGGCGGCCUUUUAAGUCCUGCGUGAAAUCCUGCGGCUCAACCGCAGACGGUCGUGGGAAACUGGAAGGCUAGAGUGCGGGAGAGGAGAGUGGAAUUCCCGGUGUAGCGGUGAAAUGCGCAGAUAUCAGGAGGAACACCGGUGGCGAAGGCGGGUCUCUGGGCCGAUACUGACGCUGAGGAGCGAAAGCGUGGGGAGCGAACAGG
rnacentral:rRNA from 1 species